AUGAUGGACUAUAGGACAGGACUGCUGCUUUUUACUGUCUGCUGGGCAGGUGUUAAAGCUCAGACUCUGACAGAAUCUGAAGCAGUGGUUAAAAGGCCUGGAGAAUCCCACAGACUGACCUGUUCAGCCUCUGGAUUCACAUUAAGCAGCUACCAUAUGAGCUGGGUCAGACAGGCUCCAGGAAAAGGACUGGAGUGGAUCGCCUGGGUUGAGAAUGAUAAUGACGAAAAAUACUACUCUCAGUCAGCUAAAGGCCGGUUCACCAUCUCCAGAGACAACAGCAGACAGCAGGUGUAUCUGCAGAUGAACAGUCUGAAGACUGAAGAUUCUGCUGUUUAUUAUUGUGCCAGAGAGCCACAGUGACACAGGAGGAAGUAACGCUGUACAAAAACAGUCAAAGUAGCAUUUCACAUUACAUCAGUAACCUCACUGACUGGGAUGUGUUAAGUAGCUGUACAGAAUCCUUUGCUAUUUAUGUCUUGUGGACCUAUGGAGCUUGUUCAGUUCAGAAUCAGGGAUAUAGUCCUUAACAUACAGACUCAGACCAAGAUGGAGUGACUGAUUCCAAAACCAAAAACUGAUUCGGCUACAAAGUAAUGAGAAAAUGAUAAACCUGAUGUAGGAGUUAUUACUCUCUCUACAUUAAAUGGAGUGGUUUACUGCUCCUCUCUCUUACACUGCUAAUGUCAACCAGAAGUAUAUCAGCAGUUCUUCAUUUUAUUGUAUUACAUUUUAAAAGGAUACUCAACAGGAAUAAAGCACAGACAUACUUUCCCUGUCAGAAUAAUUUUUAGGUUUGUAAUUACCGUAGGCUUCACCACUUGAACGAAAAAUCAAUACCCACAAACAUCCAGACCUCUUAAAUCUUCACCAAGGAUCCUGGAAAGGACUUUUAAACCAAACGUUAAACAACAACAAAUGAUUAAAUAGACUAAUCAAACUAUAGUCUUUUCUUUCUCAAUGCUGGGUCCUUAAAGCUUGAGAGGGCAGAUAUAGGUUUGUGUGUGAAGACAUGUGCUCCCCUCUUAUUGUUGUAUGAACUGACAAAACUGCGUCCUGCCGACUCACUCAGCUGUAUAUUACUGAGUCUGUGUACGCUCCACUGACACAAAUCACCAAAAGACCAGCACAAAUAAUCCAGAGCAAUGCAGUUCAAUCACACAUAAUGUUGACUUUAUAAAGACAACACACUCUGAUAAGUAUGAUGUGAGGAAUCUUUAUGUAUUCACAGAACAAUAGAGGAUUUUUGUUUUACCUGUACAUGAGGAAGAAUAGCGUGCUAUAAACCCAAUCAGACUUCCACUGCAGCCGACAUCAGUGCAGAAAAAAAAUGUAGAGAAGCUUGAUUGUUCCUGAAUAUUUAUAGAUUAAUGUUGUGUAUCGUGAUCCCAAGAAAUGCUUGGGGAAACAUUUAAUUCAGUGCUCAUGGAAUCGGGUAGAAAAUAUCAUCUGAUAACAUAUCUACAUUAACAAUGUAGCUUCAUCUCAAACACACAAGCUGCAAUAUAUUUGCAUAUCAAGAUGAAAAGUAAGAGAUUAUCAUUUCGGGAAAAAACAUGCUUUGGCGAUUUACCAUGACUGUGAUAUUUUAGAGCUUGCUCUGUUGCUGAAGAUAUUCUCUUCUUAUGGAAAUGUAUCAGUCACAGUUUCUCUUUUGAACCUGUAGAGGG